AGACACUGUAAUUGUGGACGCAGCUGGGAGGCACUGGGAAGGAGUGGGGAGAGAACAUAGUUGUUCGUGGUGUGAAAGGGUGUGCAACCAGGAAAGGGAGAGGAAAGAGAAGAGGGCAAUGUAGCGCCGCUCAACCACCACCCAGGAGUCAGUGCUUGUCCCCUGCAUCCGGACACGUGACAUUGGGGAAAUUCAAGAAAGGUCGCAUGGAAAAGAAGAAUUGCAGAGGCAAGCUGGAAGAAAUAGACCCCCACCAUGAAAGUCCCCAGAGAGAGAUGAGAAGGUGUGUGGCUCUAAGACAUGCCCCCCACCAUGGGGCGCGUGAGAGGCUCAGUUGGUUAAGCGUCUGCCUUCGGCUCAGGUCAUGAUCCUGGAGUCGUGGGAUGGAGUCCUGCAUGGGCUCCCUGCUCAGCAAAGAGUCUGCUUCUCCCUCUCCCUCUGCCUCUUCCCUGCUCAUGCGCUCUCUCUUUCUCAAAUAAAUGAAUCAAAUCUUU
rnacentral:lncRNA from 1 species